rnacentral:rRNA from 1 species
GUGGGGAAUAUUGCACAAUGGGGGAAACCCUGAUGCAGCGACGCCGCGUGAGCGAAGAAGUAUUUCGGUAUGUAAAGCUCUAUCAGCAAGGAAGAUAAUGACGGUACUUGACUAAGAAGCUCCGGCUAAAUACGUGCCAGCAGCCGCGGUAAUACGUAUGGAGCAAGCGUUAUCCGGAUUUACUGGGUGUAAAGGGAGCGUAGACGGUGAGGCAAGUCUGAUGUGAAAGCCCGGGGCUCAACCCCGGAACUGCAUUGGAAACUGUCUUACUAGAGUGCAGGAGAGGUAAGCGGAAUUCCUAGUGUAGCGGUGAAAUGCGUAGAUAUUAGGAGGAACACCAGUGGCGAAGGCGGCUUACUGGACUGUAACUGACACUGAGGCUCGAAAGCGUGGGGAGCAAACAGG